GAGUUUGAUUAUGGCUCAGGACUAACGCUGGCGGCGUGCCUAACACAUGCAAGUCGAACGAGUUGAUCUAUAGUAGCAAUAUUGUGGAUCGGCAAGUGGCGAACGGGUGAGUAACACGUAGAUAAUCUGCCUUUCAGACGGGGACAACUCAGGGAAACUUGUGCUAAUACCCGAUGAGACUACGGGAGGGGACUCUUGUAGCCAAAGGCGGGCGAAAGCUCGUGCUGAAAGAUGAGUCUGCGUCCUAUCAGCUAGUUGGUGGGGUAAAAGCCUACCAAGGCGAAGACGGGUAGCCGGCCUGAGAGGGUGAACGGCCACACUGGGACUGAGACACGGCCCAGACUCCUACGGGAGGCAGCAGUGAGGAAUUUUCCGCAAUGGGCGCAAGCCUGACGGAGCGACGCCGCGUGAGGGAUGACGGCCUUCGGGUUGUAAACCUCUUUUAUUAGGGAAAAAGGUCUGCGUGCUAAUACCACGUAGAUUUGAUUGUACCUGUUGAAUAAGCCCCGGCUAACUACGUGCCAGCAGCCGCGGUAAUACGUAGGGGGCGAGCGUUGUCCGGAGUUACUGGGCGUAAAGAGCGUGUAGGCGGUUGGAAAAGUCAGGUGUGAAAUUCUUCGGCUCAACUGGGGGACUGCGCCUGAAACUUUCCGACUGGAGUUCGGGAGGGGCAACUGGAAUUCCUGGUGUAACGGUGAAAUGUGUAGAUAUCAGGAGGAACACCCGUGGCGAAGGCGGGUUGCUGGACCGAAACUGACGCUGAGACGCGAAAGCGUGGGUAGCAAACAGGAUUAGAUACCCUGGUAGUCCACGCUGUAAACGAUGAGUGCUAGGUGUAGGGGGUAUCGACUCCUUCUGUGCCGCAGUUAACGCAUUAAGCACUCCGCCUGGGGAGUACGGCCGCAAGGUUUAAAACUCAAAGGAAUUGACGGGGGCCCGCACAAGCGGUGGGAGUAUGUGGUUUUAAUUUCGAUGAUACGCGAGAACUUUACUGGCUUUUGAACAUGUCAGAACCCUUAGAGAUAAGGGGUGCUGCCUGCAGAGUCUGACAAGUGCUGCAUAUGUCGUCAGCUCGUGUCCGUGAGCAUGUUUAGCGGU
rnacentral:rRNA from 1 species